CAGAAGGUGUGCUCAGGAAAACUAGGAAACGCGAGUUGUUAGCGGGGAGCAUGAGAAUUAAUUUUGUCCGCUUCUACUUACAGAGUCUCAAGUUGCUGAAAGCCACGGCGAGAGAAGAGCCCUCCGAGGCAAUUUAGGGCUAAAUGUCCUGCCCAAGGACACAUCGGCACGCAGACUAGGGGUGUCUGGGAUCGAACCGCUCCACCUCCUGAGCCGCAGCCAAAAAGAGUAAAGCAAAAAGCAAGCAAAAACUGUCAGCGGGUUGUUUGCUCUGUGUCGCUGGACCUUGGGAACAAGGGAACUGCAUCAUCUUAUAAAACAACCAGGCACCAGCAGUUACGACUCAGGUCAAAGUGCUGACUGGGGUUGAUUACAACGGCAUCACCCCGGUGUUCUCACCGCGGCCCGGCCUCAGCUGCAGCAUCGCACAAGGUCCGGCUAUUCCAGUCAUUAAAAUUAAAGCAACAGUAAAUUACAUCCUGAAGGGCUGCCAUAACUGCCGUACACAUUUCUUUUUCUUUUUUUCUUUUCUGUUUUUCAUACAGAGAUCCUGCCCCAUUAGUGUACCAUAUACAUCCAGCAUCUGGUUCCUAUUUGUGUUAUGUGGAGAAGAUGGUGAUUGUGGUUCUCGUCAGCCAAACGUCCCUUUUUUUUUCUGCCUUUGUGUCUGUAUAUCUGUGUGUGUGUGUGUGUGUG